rnacentral:rRNA from 1 species
GGGCUUGACAUCCCACGAACCUGCCUGAAAGGGCGGGGUGCCCGUAAGGGAGCGUGAGGACAGGUGGUGCAUGGCUGUCGUCAGCUCGUGUCGUGAGAUGUUGGGUUAAGUCCCGCAACGAGCGCAACCCUCACCCCUAGUUGCCACCGGGUAAAGCCGAGCACUCGAGGGGAACUGCCAGCGUCAAGCUGGAGGAAGGCGGGGAUGACGUCAAGUCAUCAUGCCCCUUACGUCCUGGGCUACACACGUGCUACAAUGGCCAGUACAAAGGGAUGCGAGACCGCGAGGUGGAGCUAAUCCCAAAAAGCUGGUCUAAGUUCAGAUUGCAGUCUGCAACUCGACUGCAUGAAGGAGGAAUCGCUAGUAAUCGCGCAUCAGCCCGGCGCGGUGGAUACGUUCCCGGGCCUUGUACACACCGCCCGUCACACCACGAAAGCUGGCUGUACUCGAAGUCGCUGAG